GGAAUGUCCGCGGCUCAGGGGGAGCCUGU
rnacentral:sRNA from 1 species